rnacentral:rRNA from 1 species
GACGAACGCUGGCGGCGUGCUUAACACAUGCAAGUCGAACGGAAAGGCCCUGCUUUUGUGGGGUGCUCGAGUGGCGAACGGGUGAGUAACACGUGAGUAACCUGCCCUUGACUUUGGGAUAACUUCAGGAAACUGGGGCUAAUACCGGAUAGGAGCUCCUGCUGCAUGGUGGGGGUUGGAAAGUUUCGGCGGUUGGGGAUGGACUCGCGGCUUAUCAGCUUGUUGGUGGGGUAGUGGCUUACCAAGGCUUUGACGGGUAGCCGGCCUGAGAGGGUGACCGGCCACAUUGGGACUGAGAUACGGCCCAGACUCCUACGGGAGGCAGCAGCGGGGAAUAUUGCACAGUGGGCGGAAGCCUGAUGCAGCAACGCCGCGUGCGGGAUGACGGCCUUCGGGUUGUAAACCGCUUUCGCCUGUGACGAAGCGUGAGUGACGGUAAUGGGUAAAGAAGCACCGGCUAACUACGUG